UAUGGGUUAGUGGCGGACGGGUGAGUAACGCGUGGGCAACCUGCCUUACACAGGGGGAUAACACCUGGAAACAGGUGCUAAUACCGCAUAAGCGCACAGGGCCGCAUGGCCCGGUGUGAAAAACUCCGGUGGUGUAAGAUGGACCCGCGUCUGAUUAGCUUGUUGGCGGGGUAGGGGCCCACCAAGGCGACGAUCAGUAGCCGGCCUGAGAGGGUGGACGGCCACAUUGGGACUGAGACACGGCCCAAACUCCUACGGGAGGCAGCAG
rnacentral:rRNA from 1 species